rnacentral:tRNA from 10 species
UUGGCCUGUAGCCAAGCGGUAAGGCAGAAGAUUUUGAUUCUUCCACGCGUAGGUUCGAUCCCUACCAGGCCAGCCAU